AAAUUUAAUUUGCAUCAUUGCAACCCAUAGCUAAAACCUCAUAUAGCUCUGUUCUUAUUAACCAGCAAAAGACAUAGCAUGCAGAGUUGCAUCAAACAUGUACAGGGACACAAGUAUAAUAUCUGUUCUUGAAUAUACCAACACAAAGUCUAAAUAAUAAUAUGGCAAAUGAAUAAUAAUUAACACUGCUAACAAUGUCCUAGGGGGAG
rnacentral:misc_RNA from 1 species